UCGGGAUUAUCGUUCCAUCGACGGAACACCCGCGCUCGACCCCCAGCUGAAGCAUUUCUUUUCUCCCUUUUCCCUCUCUUCGCCAAUAGAGACAUCUUUUCUUCCCGAUAGACCAGCGCUCCCCUCACGCGCGGGCUCUUCUGCGCCGCCGCCGAUACAGGUACCUCAUCGGUGGUCAACUCCGUCCAGCCGCCAUCCAUCCUUGGGUCAUCCCCCGCUCCGGCGCUCUCCCCUUUCCUCAAUAUACUGCAGCGGCUGACGCCUCCAUAGUCAGCGGCGGCGCAUGUCCCCCCGGCGGCAGCAGCGCAGGUAGUGGCGUCGUCCCUCUGUCCUCCGGCGCCGGGAUUCUCACCCACUGGGCUGCAGCUUCCUCCCGUCGACCUCUCCCUCCCCUCUCAUCUCUCUCGUUUCUCUGUGUAACGGAGACGCGACCCGUCGGCCGGCGCAGCGCCGGCAGCUCCUUCCCUCCUCCUCCGGCUGGGCUGAGCACAGCGUCGGCAGCCUCCCUCCCUCCUCCUCUGGUUGGGCACAACGCUGGAAGGAAAUGAGAUCGACGAGCGAGCCGCACGACCGCCGGGCGCCGUCCUGCACAUUAUCUGCCUCUCCGACAUGCAGAUGCAGCCGCUCCCAGCCACAAGGAGCUCGUUCUGUUCAAGAUAAGGAAGCGACGAACAUGUGUGUUUUGGUUUGAUUGCUAUUGCCCUGAAACGCCUUAUUAUUUGCUACGUACUGAACUGUAGUACAUGUGAUGCUCUUCCUGUAAUUUGCAUUUUACGAUCUUUGUUUUUCAGAUGUAAUCUACUUAUGCAAAGAGAAUCCGAUUAAGAUGAUGCUACGAGAGUUGCACUCAAGAGCAUCCGAUUUUCUUUUUACCGUUGUAAAAAGAAAAAGAAAAAACAUUUCACGUGUGAAACACUAUAGCCAAUAUACUCGGUCGACUUCGAUUCAUCGCUUUGGACAUCCAAUCAGGAUUUGACAUUCGAUCUCAAUAUUAAGUCUUGGUUUCAAAUAUCUAAACAUCCAAACAAAAGUAUUUGUAUUCAGUCUCAAUAUCAAUAUCAUGUGAUAUUGGCAUUGAAGACACUGCAAUGCCAAGUUUCUGAAUGUCUACAUCCAAACGAAACCUUCAUGUUUAUGCUUCCCUUGAUCAAGAGUCACUAGAGGGUGCGAUUGCGGCGAUUCUUAGGGAUUGGAAAGGUGAUUUUGUUGCUGCGGCAAAUCAAAGAUUACCUGCUGCCUGGAUGCUGGCCUUUCGGCUGG
rnacentral:lncRNA from 1 species